rnacentral:rRNA from 1 species
GACGAACCGUGAGCAAACGUUAUUCGGAAUCACUGGGCAUAAAGGGCGCGUAGGCGGCUCCAAAAGUCAGGGGUGAAAUCCGGCAGCUUAACUGUCGCAGUGCCUUUGAUACUGUGGAGCUAGAGGGAGGUAGGGGUCUGUGGAACUUCCGGUGGAGCGGUGAAAUGCGUUGAUAUCGGAAGGAACGCCGGUGGCGAAGGCGGCCAGCUGGGCCGUCCCUGACGCUGAGCGC